rnacentral:rRNA from 1 species
CGCGCAGGCGGUCGUUCAAGUCGGAUGUGAAAGCCCCCGGCUCAACUGGGGAGGGUCAUUCGAUACUGAUCGACUCGAAGACAGGGGAGGGAAGCGGAAUUCCCGGUGUAGUGGUGAAAUGCGUAGAUAUCGGGAGGAACACCAGUGGCGAAGGCGGCUUCCUGGCCUGUUCUUGACGCUGAGGCGCGAAAGCUAGGGGAGCAAACG